GGCGUUGAAGCAUGAUCGUAAGGACAUGUGGAGCGCUUAGAAGUGAGAAUGCCGGUGUGAGUAGCGAAAGACGGGUGAGAAUCCCGUCCACCGAUUGACUAAGGUUUCCAGAGGAAGGCUCGUCCGCUCUGGGUUAGUCGGGUCCUAAGCUGAGGCCGACAGGCGUAGGCGAUGGAUAACAGGUUGAUAUUCCUGUACCACCUAUAAUCGUUUUAAUCGAUGGGGGGACGCAGUAGGAUAGGCGAAGCGUGCGAUUGGAUUGCACGUCUAAGCAGUAAGGCUGAGUAUUAGGCAAAUCCGGUACUCGUUAAGGCUGAGCUGUGAUGGGGAGAAGACAUUGUGUCUUCGAGUCGUUGAUUUCACACUGCCGAGAAAAGCCUCUAGAUAGAAAAUAGGUGCCCGUACCGCAAACCGACACAGGUAGUCAAGAUGAGAAUUCUAAGGUGAGCGAGCGAACUCUCGUUAAGGAACUCGGCAAAAUGACCCCGUAACUUCGGGAGAAGGGGUGCUCUUUAGGGUUAACG
rnacentral:rRNA from 1 species